UACGUAGGGAGCAAGCGUUAUCCGGAUUUAUUGGGUGUAAAGGGUGCGUAGACGGAAAAGCAAGUUAGUUGUGAAAUCCCUCAGCUUAACUGAGGAACUGCAACUAAAACUACUUUCCUUGAGUGCAGGAGGGGAAAGCGGAAUUCCUAGUGUAGCGGUGAAAUGCGUAGAUAUUAGGAGGAACACCGGUGGCGAAGGCGUCUUUCUGGACUGUAACUGACGUUGAGGCACGAAAGUGUGGGGAGCAAAC
rnacentral:rRNA from 1 species